UACGUAGGGGGCAAGCGUUAUCCGGAUUUACUGGGUGUAAAGGGAGCGUAGACGGCGAUGCAAGUCUGAAGUGAAAGGCGGGGGCCCAACCCCCGGACUGCUUUGGAAACUGUAUAGCUGGAGUGCAGGAGGGGCAGGCGGAAUUCCUGGUGUAGCGGUGAAAUGCGUAGAUAUCAGGAGGAACACCGGUGGCGAAGGCGGCCUGCUGGACUGCAACUGACGUUGAGGCCCGAAAGCGUGGGGAGCAAACAGG
rnacentral:rRNA from 1 species